AUUGAACGCUGGCGGCAGGCCUAACACAUGCAAGUCGGACGGUAGCACAGAGGAGCUUGCUCCUCGGGUGACGAGUGGCGGACGGGUGAGUAAUGUCUGGGGAUCUGCCCGAUAGAGGGGGAUAACCACUGGAAACGGUGGCUAAUACCGCAUAACGUCGCAAGACCAAAGAGGGGGACCUUCGGGCCUCUCACUAUCGGAUGAACCCAGAUGGGAUUAGCUAGUAGGCGGGGUAAUGGCCCACCUAGGCGACGAUCCCUAGCUGGUCUGAGAGGAUGACCAGCCACACUGGAACUGAGACACGGUCCAGACUCCUACGGGAGGCAGCAGUGGGGAAUAUUGCACAAUGGGCGCAAGCCUGAUGCAGCCAUGCCGCGUGUAUGAAGAAGGCCUUCGGGUUGUAAAGUACUUUCAGCGGGGAGGAAGGCGGUGAGGUUAAUAACCUCGCCGAUUGACGUUACCCGCAGAAGAAGCACCGGCUAACUCCGUGCCAGCCGCCGCGGUAACAC
rnacentral:rRNA from 1 species